ensembl:lncRNA
CCCAUCAACCCUUAGGCACACUUCAACUUUGCUUUGCUUUGGUUACAGGAUUCUCUUCUGAGACUUCAGGGACACUGAAGAAAGUGAGUGGAUCUGACCAGGGAAGAAAACCAACAGACUCUACCAGUAUCCCUAUGACUGGCUUCACUGGGAGAGAUUCCAUUACAGACACUGAAAGAGACAUAUGUGUCAUGGAGACAACUCUAAGAGCCACAGCCACUCAAGCCCCACUUCUCACUGUGCACACUGGAGCAGGUGACCUCAUCCCUGGGAUGCACAGGAGAACUGUGUCCUCUCCCACUUCACCAUCAGCUCCAAGAGAGAUAUCCUCUGGAGUCACCAUUGCCAUUGCAAGGCCCUCACUCUCCAUGACUCCAGUAGAACCCACAGCUAGCCCUGGCUCCAGUGGUCCCUUGAACAUCAGCCUAUCUGGGACAAUUUUUUCUACACCCCUUGCACAAACACCUAUAGCUGAAAUAGCUCCUGGAGAGAGUUCCAGCACCCCCCCCCCUUCUCUAUGGUCCACUUCAGUUGAUUCUUUCAAUACUGUUGGCUCAGCCCCAGGAACUGAAAUCACCUCCAUUGUGCCUCUAUAUUCACUUCCAACAGCCUCAAGUGCCACAGAAACCACACCAAAUCCUGAUUUGUCAGUGAGACCUACCACACUAGAGCCAGGCUCAGCUGCCCUAACUUCCACUGCUCCCACCAUCAUUCCAACACCGUCUGAGGAAGACACAAACACCUCACUGGUGUCUAUAGAAGGACCAACAGAAGAUAAAACAGUGUCCAGCACCUUCCCAGCAAAUGCAGACACCCCUGGUAUCACUCACAGGGAGCACUUCUUCACAGGUCCUGGAGUAACUUUUCACCCUGACAUGGCCUCUACUUCUCUGCCCAAUUUAUGUGAAGGGAUCAGUUAUUCCAGAAAUAUCCCCUCACCCUCUUUAGAAAGUAGGAAAAGCACUGCCAUGAUUGGAGUCUGGACAAGCCCAGCUGUACCUCACACUGUGGAGCCUAAGAAGCCCACCCCUGCUGAGGAUUCCCUCUGUAUUGGACCAGUGACUGAAUUUAGCAGCAGGGAAAGUGGACAUAUAAAGAAUAGCUUGGCCUCUGCUGUGACCUUUAACUCUCCACUACCAAGCCCCAUUGCUUCUAGCAGCAUGGAUGUAGACUCAGAAAUGGCGUUAGGAUUAUCUCUCUGGACAGACAGCUCCUCAUCACAAGUAGAAGUCAGUUUUCCUUAUCUCUUUUCCACCACAGGAGAUGGACCUUCCCUGGGAACAGAACCUCACAAUCCCAUCCACGAAUCUCUGAGCCCAGGGCCAGGCUCCUUUCCUGCCUUAAGUACUCCCACAGCCUGCACAAGCACAGCUUCCCUUGAAACUGCUACUUCAUUGGAGGACCCAGGGCCAGCCAGCCUGACUCCAGAGACUGAGAGAAACCCACAGGCAACACCAACUCCAGUUAUCACCCUGCCUCCAGCCAGCACACAGGAAGUUUGCACAACAGCAUCUCCCAGUCCUUCUGACACAACCACAGAGGGCAACAGUGUCAAGUCAGGGACAACCUCUGUUUCUGAUCAAGUGCCUUCCACUUCCAGCCUCUUCCCAAGUAGUGAUGCUGGUGUGGUGCCAGUCACACAUGCCCAAGGCCAUGAAGCACCAGGAAGCACAGGAGCACUGAUGAGGAGCCCCCUGACAUCUAUGUGUUCUAUUAUGCCCACAGGUAAGUAGGUAUCUCGUCUCUGUCUCUGUGUUGGAGGUUUAUCCUUUUUAGGGCCUUGUUUACC